CGUACCUACUAGCCUACGACGGGUACGGGUUGUGAGAGCAAGAGCCCGGAGAUGGAUUCUGAGACACGAAUCCAGGCCCUACGGGGUGCAGCAGGCGCGAAAACUUUACAAUGCUGGCAACAGCGAUAAGGGAACCUCGAGUGCCAGGUUACAAAUCUGGCUGUCGUGAUGCCUAAAAAGCAUUACAUAGCAAGGGCCGGGCAAGACCGGUGCCAGCCGCCGCGGUAACACCGGCGGCUCGAGUGGUAACCGUUAUUAUUGGGUCUAAAGGGUCUGUAGCCGGCCGGAUAAGUCUCUUGGGAAAUCCAGCAGCCUAACUGUUGGGCUUUCAGGAGAUACUAUUCGGCUCGAGGCCGGGAGAGGUGAGAGGUACUUCAGGGGUAGGGGUGAAAUCUUGUAAUCCUUGAAGGACCACCAGUGGCGAAGGCGUCUCACCAGAACGGACCUGACGGCAAGGGACGAAAGCUAGGGGCACGAACCGGAUUAGAUACCCGGGUAGUCCUAGCCGUAAACGAUACUCGCUAGGUGUCGGCCACGGUGCGACCGUUGUCGGUGCCGUAGGGAAGCCGUGAAGCGAGCCACCUGGGAAGUACGGCCGCAAGGCUGAAACUUAAAGGAAUUGGCGGGGGAGCACCACAACGGGUGGAGCUUGCGGUUUAAUUGGAUUCAACGCCGGAAAUCUUACCGGGACCGACAGCGAUAUGAAGGCCAGGCUGAAGACUUUGCCGGAUUAGCUGAGAGGUGGUGCAUGGCCGUCGUCAGUUCGUACUGUGAAGCAUCCUGUUAAGUCAGGCAACGAGCGAGACCCACGCCCACAGUUGCCAGCGUACUCUCCGGAGUGACGGGUACACUGUGGGGACCGCCGCUGCUAAAGCGGAGGAAGGAAUGGGCAACGGUAGGUCAGUAUGCCCCGAAUAUCCCGGGCUACACGCGAGCUACAAUGGUUGGUACAAUGGGUAUCUACCCCGAGAGGGGAUGGAAAUCUCCUAAAACCAAUCUCAGUCCGGAUUGAGGGCUGCAACUCGCCCUCAUGAAGCUGGAAUCCGUAGUAAUCGCGUUUCAACAGAACGCGGUGAAUACGUCCCUGCUCCUUGCACACACCGCCCGUCAAACCACCCGAGUAGGGUCUGAAUGAGAGCGCCUCCUGUGGAGGCGUCCGAAUUUGGGCUUUGCAAGGGGGGUUAAGUCGUAACAAGGUAGCCGUAGGGGAAUCUGCGGCUG
rnacentral:rRNA from 1 species